CCAAUAGCGUAUAUUAAAGUUGUUGCAGUUAAAAAGCUCGUAGUUGAAUUUUGGGUCUGGCCGGGCGGUCCGCCCUCUGGGUGAGCACUGUUCCGACGCCGGGCCUAUCCUUUUGGUGAGUCGGCAUGUCCUUUAUUGGGUGUGCCGGGGAACCAGGACCAUUACCUUGAAAAAAUUAGAGUGUUCAAAGCAGGCGUAUGCUCGGAUACAUUAGCAUGGAAUAAUGAAAUAGGACGCGUGGUGCUAUUUUGUUGGUUUCGAAAACCGCCGUAAUGAUUAAUAGGGAUAGUUGGGGGCAUUAGUAUUCAAUUGUCAGAGGUGAAAUUCUUGGAUUUAUUGAAGACUAACUUCUGCGAAAGCAAUUGCCAAGGAUGUUUUCAUUAAUCAAGAACGAAAGUUAGGGGAUCGAAGACGAUCAGAUACCGUCGUAGUCUUAACCAUAAACUAUGCCGACUAGGAAUCGGGCGAUGUUAUUCUCAUGACUCGCCCGGCGCCUUAUG
rnacentral:misc_RNA from 1 species